UACAGGGGGGGCAAGCGUUGUUCGGAAUUACUGGGCGUAAAGGGUUCGUAGGUGGCCAACUAAGUCGGACGUGAAAUCCCCAGGCUCAACCUGGGAACUGCAUCCGAUACUGGAUGGCUUGAAUCCGGGAGAGGGAUGCAGAAUUCCAGGUGUAGCGGUGAAAUGCGUAGAUAUCUGGAGGAAUACCGGUGGCGAAGGCGGCAUCCUGGACCGGCAUUGACGCUGAGGAGCGAAAGCCAGGGGAGCAAACGGG
rnacentral:rRNA from 1 species